AGGGUUAUAGCUCAGCGGUAGAGCGCCUCGUUUACACACCGAGAAUGUCUACGGUUCGAAUCCGUAUAGCCCUA
rnacentral:tRNA from 1 species